UGAUUUUUGAUAUAGCGCUCUGAAUAUCUGCAAAAAAAUGAGAAGAAAAUUUUUCAAAAUUGUAAGGAUUGAACAAAAAUGCACAUAAAACUUGAAUAAGAAGAAAAAGAAGAAGAAGAAGAGGCCUCGAAAGCUCCUCUGGCGAUUAAGGAACUUAGGGAAAUGAGAGUUAGCGCAGAUCUGCUUCUCCAUGCCAAAGAAAUCAAGCUCGACAGUUGCUCUCGACAUCUUAAUUUGUUUAUCUGAUUAAAUCGAGAAUGUGGUGAAGGCAGAUAAACUUAAAUGCAAG
rnacentral:misc_RNA from 1 species